GACGAACGCCGGCGGCGUGCUUAACACAUGCAAGUCGAACGGAAAGGCCCUGCUUUUGUGGGGUGCUCGAGUGGCGAACGGGUGAGUAACACGUGAGUAACCUGCCCUUGACUUUGGGAUAACUUCAGGAAACUGGGGCUAAUACCGGAUAGGAGCUCCUGCUGCAUGGUGGGGGUUGGAAAGUUUCGGCGGUUGGGGAUGGACUCGCGGCUUAUCAGCUUGUUGGUGGGGUAGUGGCUUACCAAGGCUUUGACGGGUAGCCGGCCUGAGAGGGUGACCGGCCACAUUGGGACUGAGAUACGGCCCAGACUCCUACGGGAGGCAGCAGUGGGGAAUAUUGCACAAUGGGCGGAAGCCUGAUGCAGCAACGCCGCGUGCGGGAUGACGGCCUUCGGGUUGUAAACCGCUUUCGCCUGUGACGAAGCGUGAGUGACGGUAAUGGGUAAAGAAGCACCGGCUAACUACGUGCCAGCAGCCGCGGUGAUACGUAGGGUGCGAGCGUUGUCCGGAUUUAUUGGGCGUAAAGGGCUCGUAGGUGGUUGAUCGCGUCGGAAGUGUAAUCUUGGGGCUUAACCCUGAGCGUGCUUUCGAUACGGGUUGACUUGAGGAAGGUAGGGGAGAAUGGAAUUCCUGGUGGAGCGGUGGAAUGCGCAGAUAUCAGGAGGAACACCAGUGGCGAAGGCGGUUCUCUGGGCCUUUCCUGACGCUGAGGAGCGAAAGCGUGGGGAGCGAACAGGCUUAGAUACCCUGGUAGUCCACGCUGUAAACGGUGGGUACUAGGUGUGGGGUCCAUUCCACGGGUUCCGUGCCGUAGCUAACGCUUUAAGUACCCCGCCUGGGGAGUACGGCCGCAAGGCUAAAACUCAAAGGAAUCGACGGGGCCCCGCACAAGCGGCGGAGCAUGCGGAUUAAUUCGAUGCAACGCGUAGAACCUUACCUGGGUUUGACAUGGAUCGGGAGUGCUCAGAGAUGGGUGUGCCUCUUUUGGGGUCGGUUCACAGGUGGUGCAUGGCUGUCGUCAGCUCGUGUCGUGAGAUGUUGGGUUAAGUCCCGCAACGAGCGCAACCCUUGUUCACUGUUGCCAGCACGUUAUGGUGGGGACUCAGUGGAGACCGCCGGGGUCAACUCGGAGGAAGGUGGGGAUGACGUCAAGUCAUCAUGCCCCUUAUGUCCAGGGCUUCACGCAUGCUACAAUGGCUGGUACAGAGAGUGGCGAGCCUGUGAGGGUGAGCGAAUCUCGGAAAGCCGGUCUCAGUUCGGAUUGGGGUCUGCAACUCGACCUCAUGAAGUCGGAGUCGCUAGUAAUCGCAGAUCAGCAACGCUGCGGUGAAUACGUUCCCGGGGCU
rnacentral:rRNA from 1 species